UACGUAGGGAGCAAGCGUUGUCCGGAAUCAUUGGGCGUAAAGCGCGCGUAGGUGGCCAUGUAAGUCCGCUGUGAAAGUCAAAGGCUCAACCUUUGAAAGCCGGUGGAUACUGCAUGGCUAGAGUACGGAAGAGGCGAGUGGAAUUCCUGGUGUAGCGGUGGAAUGCGCAGAUAUCAGGAGGAACACCAAUUGCGAAGGCAGCUCGCUGGGACGUUACUGACGCUGAGACGCGAAAGCGUGGGGAGCAAACAGG
rnacentral:rRNA from 1 species